rnacentral:rRNA from 2 species
GACGAACCGUGCAAACGUUGUUCGGAAUCACUGGGCUUAAAGGGCGCGUAGGCGGGCAAGCAAGUCGAAGGUGAAAUCCCACGGCUCAACCGUGGAAGUGCCCCCGAUACUGCUUGUCUUGAGGGAGAUAGGGGCGUGCGGAACUUCCGGUGGAGCGGUGAAAUGCGUAGAUAUCGGAAGGAACACCGGUGGCGAAAGCGGCGCGCUGGAUCUCUUCUGACGCUGAGGCGCGAAAGCCAGGGGAGCAAACGGG